rnacentral:rRNA from 1 species
GACGUAGGGCGCGAGCGUUGUCCGGAAUUAUUGGGCGUAAAGAGCUCGUAGGCGGUCUGUCGCGUCGGCUGUGAAAUCCCGAGGCUCAACCUCGGGUCUGCAGUCGAUACGGGCAAACUGGAGUGUUGCAGGGGAGACUGGAAUUCCUGGUGUAGCGGUGAAAUGCGCAGAUAUCAGGAGGAACACCGGUGGCGAAGGCGGAUCUCUGGGCCAUUACUGACGCUGAGGAGCGAAAGCGUGGGGAGCGAACAGG